GGAUUAUUUUAUUGGAUAGAUUAGUAAUUAAAUUAAUUUAUAUGGGUCAUUUAUUAAUAUCAAAGAAUUAGUUAUGAGAUGGCAUUAUAUUUCCUAUUACUUAGAUGGGUAAUUUUGUAACUUUGUGAAAUUAGGUUAAUAUGCCCACCUAUUGUGGCUUUAAGUCAUGGAAAACAAACAAAGCAGAGGCUAUGAAUUGCUCCAUAGGCGGCUAGGGUUUGAGAAGGUAAAAUAAAAAAAGAAAAGAAAAAGAGAAGAGAGGUUCAAGUGAGGCUACAAUAGGGAUUGAAGGCAGCACGUUGGUGAUUUUUGGGACACCCAUUGGUUAAGGUUUGUGUGAUUGAAGUGGUGAAAUUGGGUGUUUGGAGUUGGUGUUGGAGUGUUAUUUCUAAGCGUUUGAGAUUCUGAGGAGUAGAGCUGUGCAGGGUUUUUACUUGUGGGAGUGCCGAGAGUAGGACUAUGAUUUAAGUAUUUGGAUCAUUAUUAUUAUUAUUAUUAUUUUUAUUAGUAGACUUGGUGGACAAUUUCAUAUGAUAAGAAUUAUCUAUUCGUAUGGUUUUUAGCAUUAUGAUAUUUAAGGAUUUAAUUUGAGUAUUUUACAUUGUUGGUUAUGUGUUGGAUUCUUAGCCUUGCAUGCUCACUUAAAUGAGUGUGCGGCGUUGUCACGGAGC